rnacentral:rRNA from 1 species
CAAACCAAAGCUGGCGACCGGCGCACGGGUGAGUAACACGUAUCCAACCUGCCUCAUACUCGGGGACAGCCUUUCGAAAGAAAGAUUAAUAUCCGAUAGCAUAUAUUUCCCGCAUGGGUUUUAUAUUAAAGAAAUUCGGUAUGAGAUGGGGAUGCGUUCCAUUAGUUUGUUGGGGGGGUAACGGCCCACCAAGACUACGAUGGAUAGGGGUUCUGAGAGGAAGGUCCCCCACAUUGGAACUGAGACACGGUCCAA